CUAUGUUGAAAGAAGGGUGGGUCUGGGAGGUGGGCAUGAAGGUUGGGGGCAUCUGCCUCACCCUCUCGAACUCAUCAUUUGCAGAAAGAACUGGGCUCCACAGAGGACAUCUACCUAGCCUCCCGCAAGGUUAAAGAGCUGUCCGUCAUCGAUGGCCGGAGGGCCCAGAAUUGUAUCAUUCUUCUCUCCAAGUUGAAGCUUUCUAAUGAGGAGAUACGACGGGCCAUCUUGAGGAUGGAUGAACAGGAAGACCUCGCUAAGGACAUGCUGGAGCAGCUCCUCAAGUUCAUCCCGGAGAAGAGCGACGUUGACCUCCUGGAAGAGCACAAGCAUGAGAUUGAGCGGAUGGCACGUGCAGACCGCUUCCUCUAUGAAAUGAGCAG
rnacentral:lncRNA from 1 species